rnacentral:rRNA from 1 species
AACAGGAUUAGAUACCCUGGUAGUCCACGCCGUAAACGAUGUCUACUAGCUGUUCGUGGUCUUGUACCGUGAGUAGCGCAGCUAACGCAUUAAGUAGACCGCCUGGGGAGUACGGUCGCAAGAUUAAAACUCAAAUGAAUUGACGGGGGCCCGCACAAGCGGUGGAGCAUGUGGUUUAAUUCGACGCAACGCGAAGAACCUUACCUACUCUUGACAUCUACAGAACUUAGCAGAGAUGCUUUGGUGCCUUCGGGAACUGUAAGACAGGUGCUGCAUGGCUGUCGUCAGCUCGUGUUGUGAAAUGUUGGGUUAAGUCCCGCAACGAGCGCAACCCUUAUCCUUAGUUGCCAGCGAGUUAUGUCGGGAACUCUAGGGAGACCGCCGGUGAUAAACCGGAGGAAGGUGGGGACGACGUCAAGUCAUCAUGGCCCUUACGAGUAGGGCUACACACGUGCUACAAUGGUAUGUACAGAGGGAGGCAAGCCAGCGAUGGUGAGCGGAUCUCUUAAAGCAUAUCGUAGUCCGGAUCGCAGUCUGCAACUCGACUGCGUGAAGUCGGAAUCGCUAGUAAUCGCAAAUCAGAAUGUUGCGGUGAAUACGUUCCCGGGCCUUGUACACACCGCCCGUCACACCAUGGGAGUGGGUUGCAAAAGAAGUAGGUAGCUUAACCUUCGGGAGGGCGCUUACCACUUUGUGAUUCAUGACUGGGGUGAAGUCGUAACAAGGUAACC